UACGUAGGGGCCUAGCGUUGUCCGGAAUUAUUGGGCGUAAAGCGCGCGCAGGCGGUCCUUUAAGUCUGAUGUGAAAGCCCACGGCUCAACCGUGGAGGGUCAUUGGAAACUGGGGGACUUGAGUACAGAAGAGAAGAGUGGAAUUCCACGUGUAGCGGUGAAAUGCGUAGAGAUGUGGAGGAACACCAGUGGCGAAGGCGACUCUUUGGUCUGUAACUGACGCUGAGGCGCGAAAGCGUGGGGAGCAAACAGG
rnacentral:rRNA from 1 species